UACGGAGGAUCCAAGCGUUUAUCCGGAAUUACUGGGCGUAAAGAGUUGCGUAGGUGGCAUUGUAAGUUGGUAGUGAAAGCGUUCGGCUCAACCGAAUACACAUUACCAAAACUACAAAGCUAGAGGAUGAGAGAGGUUAUUGGAAUUCCUAGUGUAGGAGUGAAAUCCGUAGAUAUCAGGAGGAACACCGGUGGCGAAGGCGCUCUCUGGCCCAAUACUGACGCUGAAGCGCGAAAGCUAGGGGGAGCAAAACGGG
rnacentral:rRNA from 1 species